rnacentral:tRNA from 1 species
GCCUCAGUGGCUUAGUGGUAUAGCGCUUCCUUGGUAAGGAAGAGGCCGCGAGUUCAACUCUCGCCUGAGGCU